UUACUGGAUUCUCUGUAUAACUAUCGGUUGUACGGUGGUUGAGGUCUGAGAUAAUCGUUACAUCGGUAACUAAUCUGUGUAAUGAUCGGCUGUGCAGUGGUUGAGAUCAUCUGAUAUAAUUGUUACAUCACUGGAUACUCUGCUUAAUCAUCUAAUGUACGAUUGUCAUAAUCGUAAGAUUGCUAUAUACUCAGUAUAACGAUUGACUCUGCGAUGGAUGGUUGGUAUCAUCUGAUAUAAUAGUUACAUCACUCGAUAUUUCAUUAAACGAUCGACUGUGUGAUGAUUGAUAUCAUCUGUAUUUUAUUCACCUUGCUAGAUAUUCUGUUUAACAAUUAACAAUCGAUAGAACGAUGGUUGCAAUCAUCUCAUAUCGUCAUACCAGUAUAUAUACUCUGUUUAACGAUCGGCUAUACGAUGAUGGAGAUCAUCUAACAUA
rnacentral:lncRNA from 1 species